GGCGCUAUAGCCAAGUGGUUACGGCGACAGAUUCGAACCUGUGUUGCAUCUGUUCCCAUAUUGGGGCGUAGGUUCAAAUCCUGCUGGCGUCG
rnacentral:tRNA from 1 species